rnacentral:rRNA from 1 species
UACCAGCACCCCGAGUGGUCGGGACGUUUUAUUGGGCCUAAAGCAUCCGUAGCCGGUUCUACAAGUCUUCCGUUAAAUCCACCUGCUUAACAGAUGGGCUGCGGAAGAUACUAUGGAGCUAGGAGGCGGGAGAGGCAAGCGGUACUCGAUGGGUAGGGGUAAAAUCCGUUGAUCCAUUGAAGACCACCAGUGGCGAAGGCGGCUUGCCAAAACGCGCUCGACGGUGAGGGAUGAAAGCUGGGGGGGGCAAACCGG